CUGGAAACAAGUUGAAGAUGGCGGCUUCAACAACGGGGUGAGUGUACAGGGAUAUGAAUCAAACCAUGCAGGAGGGGGCAGAACCUGUCUCUAAAAGCCAUGGUGAUAAAGCCAGGGAAAAUUGGGAAGAAUAUGGAUUCCAGAAGUACCCAACAUCACAGCGCUAGGUGAUGCUCAGGAAAAUGCAUAAGCAUUCACAAAUCUCUCCUCUCUCUCUCUUUCUCUCUCUCCACUUUCUCUGCUCCUAGAUCGGCUACCAACCCCCUACUUUCUAUGUAAGUAUUGCAACAGACCACAACUUCCACUGCAACUGGAACUAACAGGCAGUUGAACUUUUCCUGUGCUCCCAAGUUUGGGUAUGGGGGAAGGGUCUACACACUUUCUUCCCCUAAGUGUCUCCACGUAGACAUAACUCCCCACAUGGCCUGAGCUCCUUCCUUUGCCCUAGUCCCAGGGUUCUGGACAAUAUGGGAGGGGUAGGCAAUUUACAAAGGGGUAGAUAUGGCAGCAAAGUAGGAUUCUCAUAACACCCUGUUCUCUCAACUUCUCAGGAUCCUCAGGGUACCCUAGGGGUGAGUAUUCCCACACUCAAGCAGACCUUCUCCCCUUAUCCCCCGCCACACAAAUAGCUCCUGGGUUGUCUCUGCUUUGCCCUGUAUGGGAUAAAGAGCACCAGGAGCUCCUGGGCAGGCACCACUAAAGCUGUGUUUUUCUUGCAGAAUGGUGGCAACAUUGACGGGCUCGGUGGACAGAGAUUCAGUAAUGGGAUUGGCUUCGAACCCCCUACCUAUUAUGAUCCUCAGGGUACCCUAGUGAACGGUGGCAGAUUUAAUGGCAAUCAAGACGGUUGGACAGAGUGA
rnacentral:lncRNA from 1 species